rnacentral:rRNA from 1 species
GCAAGUCGAACGGUAGAGGGGGCAACCCCUUGAGAGUGGCGAACGGGUGAGUAAUAUAUCGGAACGUGCCCAGUCGUGGGGGAUAACGUAGUGAAAAUUACGCUAAUACCGCAUACGAUCUAAGGAUGAAAGCGGGGGAUCGCAAGACCUCGCGCGACUGGAGCGGCCGAUAUCAGAUUAGGUAGUUGGUAGGGUAAAGGCCUACCAAGCCAACGAUCUGUAGCUGGUCUGAGAGGACGACCAGCCACACUGGAACUGAGACACGGUCCAGACUCCUACGGGAGGCAGCAGUGGGGAAUUUUGGACAAUGGGCGAAAGCCUGAUCCAGCCAUUCCGCGUGCAGGAUGAAGGCCCUCGGGUUGUAAACUGCUUUUGUACAGAACGAAAAGGUUUCUAUUAAUACUAGGAGCUCAUGACGGUACUGUAAGAAUAAGCACCGGCUAACUACGUGCCAGCAGCCGCGGUAAUACGUAGGGUGCAAGCGUUAAUCGGAAUUACUGGGCGUAAAGCGUGCGCAGGCGGUUAUAUAAGUCAGAUGUGAAAUCCCCGGGCUCAACCUGGGAACUGCAUUUGAGACUGUAUAGCUAGAGUACGGUAGAAGGGGAUGGAAUUCCGCGUGUAGCAGUGAAAUGCGUAGAUAUGCGGAGGAACACCGAUGGCGAAGGCAAUCCCCUGGACCUGUACUGACGCUCAUGCACGAAAGCGUGGGGAGCAAACAGGAUUAAAUACCCUGGUAGUCCACGCCCUAAACGAUGUCAACUGGUUGUUGGGUCUUAACUGACUCAGUAACGAAGCUAACGCGUGAAGUUGACCGCCUGGGGAGUACGGCCGCAAGGUUGAAACUCAAAGGAAUUGACGGGGACUCGCACAAGCGGUGGAUGAUGUGGUUUAAUUCGAU